rnacentral:rRNA from 1 species
GAUGAACGCUGGCGGCGUGCCUAAUACAUGCGAGUCGAGCGAACAGACGAGGAGCUUGCUCCUCCGACGUUAGCGGCGGACGGGUGAGUAACACGAGGAUAACCUACCUAUAAGACUGGGAUAACUUCGGGAAACCGGAUCUAAUACCGGAUAAUAUAUUGAACCGCAGGGUUCAAUAGUGAAAGACGGUUGUGCUUGCACUUAUAGAUGGUCCUCGGCCGCAUUAGCUAGUUGGUAAGGUAACGGCUUACCAAGGCAACGAUGCGUAGCCGACCUGAGAGGGUGAUCGGCCACCCUGGAGCUGAGCCGCGGUCCUGACUCCUGCGGGAGGCAGCAGUCGGGAAUCUUCCGCAGUGGGCGAAAGCUUGGCGCAGCAGCGCGGCGUGAGUGAUGAAGGUCUUCGGAUCGUGAAACUCUGUUACUAGGGAAGAACAAAUUUGUAAGUAGCUAUGCACGUCUUGACGGUACCUGAUCAGAAAGCCCCGGCUAACUACGUG